rnacentral:rRNA from 1 species
CCUACGGGCGGCAGCAGUCGAGAAUCAUUCACAAUGGGGGAAACCCUGAUGGUGCGACGCCGCGUGGGGGAAUGAAGGUCUUCGGAUUGUAAACCCCUGUCAUGUGGGAGCAAAUUAAAAAGAUAGUACCACAAGAGGAAGAGACGGCUAACUCUGGGCCAGCAGCCGCGGUAAUACAGAGGUCUCAAGCGUUGUUCGGAAUCACUGGGCGUAAAGCGUGCGUAGGCUGUUUCGUAAGUCGUGUGUGAAAGGCGGGGGCUCAACCUGCGGACGGCACAUGAUACUGCGAGACUAGAGUAAUGGAGGGGGAAGCGGAAUUCUCGGUGUAGCAGUGAAAUGCGUAGAUAUCGAGAGGAACACUCGUGGCGAAGGCGGGUUCCUGGACAUUAACUGACGCUGAGGCACGAAGGCCAGGGGAGCGAAAGGGAUUAGAUACCCUGGUAGUC